rnacentral:rRNA from 1 species
GACAGAGGGGGCAAGCGUUGCUCGGAAUCACUGGGCGUAAAGGGUGCGUAGGCGGGUCUUUAAGUCAGGGGUGAAAUCCUGGAGCUCAACUCCAGAACUGCCUUUGAUACUGAAGAUCUUGAGUUCGGGAGAGGUGAGUGGAACUGCGAGUGUAGAGGUGAAAUUCGUAGAUAUUCGGAAGAACACCAGUGGCGAAGGCGACUGACUGGACAAGUAUUGACGCUGAGGUGCGAAAGCGUGGGAGCAACA